UACGUAGGUGGCAAGCGUUAUCCGGAUUUAUUGGGCGUAAAGGGAACGCAGGCAGUCUUUUAAGUCUGAUGUGAAAGCCUUCGGCUUAACCGGAGUAGUGCAUUGGAAACUGGGAGACUUGAGUGCAGAAGAGGAGAGUGGAACUCCAUGUGUAGCGGUGAAAUGCGUAGAUAUAUGGAAGAACACCAGUGGCGAAAGCGGCUUUCUGGUCUGUAACUGACGCUGAGGUUCGAAAGCGUGGGUAGCAAACAGG
rnacentral:rRNA from 1 species